CCUACGGGUGGCAGCAGUGGGGAAUAUUGCACAAUGGGGGAAACCCUGAUGCAGCGACGCCGCGUGAGUGAAGAAGUAUUUCGGUAUGUAAAGCUCUAUUAGCAGGGAAGAAGGAAGACGGUACCUGACUAAGAAGCCCCGGCUAACUACGUGCCAGCAGCCGCGGUAAUACGUAGGGGGCAAGCGUUAUCCGGAUUUACUGGGCGUAAGGGGAGCGUAGACGGCUGUGCAAGUCUGAAGUGAAAGGCGGGGGCCCAACCCCCGGACUGCAUUGGAAACUGUAUGGCUGGAGUGCAGGAGAGGAAAGUGGAACUCCAAGUGUAGCGGUGAAAUGCGUAGAUAUAUGGAGGAACACCAGUGGCGAAGGCGGCUUACUGGACUGUAACUGACGUUGAGGCUCGAAAGCGUGGGGAGCGAACAGGAUUAGAUACCCGGGUAGUC
rnacentral:rRNA from 1 species